GGGAAUGUAGCUCAGUUGGUAGAGCAGCGCCCUUUUAAGGCGAAGGUCCCGGGUUCGAGCCCCGGCACUCCCACCA
rnacentral:tRNA from 1 species